AUGUGCAUUUUGACCGAAGCCAACGGGGAGGAAGAUGCACAUCCAAGCUUUCCUCUUAAUUUGCACGGAAUCGCGCAGCACAUAGGCGGCAACAUUCAAGACCCGUCUAGAAGUGGUCAAUACGGAUCUGAAAGCAUUUCGGGCUAUGAGAUUUUCCCCCAAAAGUUGAAACUGUUUUCUCUAAAUGUUUGUAUGUCAUGUUGACACACAGCAAUUAACUGCCGGAUAGAAGAACCGAUCGGAAUUUGCCGAAAUAUAGUGAUCCCAACUUUAAGGCACACAUGUCCUCGCCAGAAAAUUGAAAAUUUACUUCGUUUUAGAUGAAACAAGGAGAAUUCUAAAGUUUUUACGACGGAAAAUGUAAUCAGCUUCUGGAAGUGCUCGAGUUCGAAUUGGAACCUAUGAUGUUGAUUUUGAAUCUCGGUGCAAAAUCUAUGAUACAAUAUUCAACAAUGAGUCACAGUUGCGAAA